CCUUGUACACACCGCCCGUCACACCAUGGGAGUUGGUUCUACCUGAAGACGGUGCGCUGACCGAAAGGGGGCAGCCGGCCACGGUAGGGUCAGCGACUGGGGUGAAGUCGUAAACAAGGUACC
rnacentral:rRNA from 1 species